rnacentral:rRNA from 1 species
GAUGAACGCUGGCGGCGUGCCUAAUACAUGCAAGUCGAGCGAACAGACGAGGAGCUUGCUCCUCUGACGUUAGCGGCGGACGGGUGAGUAACACGUGGAUAACCUACCUAUAAGACUGGGAUAACUUCGGGAAACCGGAGCUAAUACCGGAUAAUAUAUUGAACCGCAUGGUUAAAUAGUGAAAGACGGUUUUGCUGUCACUUAUAGAUGGAUCCGCGCCGCAUUAGCUAGUUGGUAAGGUAACGGCUUACCAAGGCAACGAUGCGUAGCCGACCUGAGAGGGUGAUCGGCCACACUGGCACUGAGACACGGUCCAGACUCCUACGGGAGGCAGCAGUAGGGAAUCUUCCGCAAUGGGCGAAAGCUUGACGGAGCAACGCCGCGUGAGUGAUGAAGGUCUUCGGAUCGUAAAACUCUGUUAUUCGGGAAGAACAAAUGUGUAAGUAACUAUGCACGUCUUGACGGUACCUUAUCAGAAAGCCACGGCUAACUACGUG